UAUUUUUGAUAAGCAUAAUUUUAUUGUUAGAUUUAAAUAAGUUUGGCAUGGUUAGGGUUCCUAGAAUCCAUUAUCCAUGCACAAAAGAAUGUUAGGCCAAGAAAAAAGCAGGGCCGUGUUGUUUAAUGUGUAGUUUAAUAUUAUAGGGUUUUGUUUGGUGGUUGUCUCGAUAUAUUUAGGCUUUGAGGCCUCGACUCUAGUGCCUGUUUGGUCAUCUGUCUGUCUGUCUGUCUGUCUGUCACAAUAUAUAAUAAAAUUUGCCCAUUUCAAUUCAACAAACAAAACCCAGAAAAGAGGAAAGGAAUUCCAUUCCCAGGGUAAUUCUGGAAUGUUGAAAAUGGUUAUGGGCGUGCAAAGAGACAAGAAAAAGACAGAGGUUGCUUCGGCGAAUCUAGGUUAAUCUUCCUUUCUGUAUCUGGUUCUGGAGGUGUUGGCGGUGGCUGUGGCAGGAGUUGUUGCUUCAACGGUGGUGGAAUAUGAAGCAGCAUGAAGGAAACGGGCAAAUGGGUGCCUGUGAAAACUGGGUUUGUCAUAGAAGAAAAUCAAGAUUUCAAAUUCAAAUAUCUCUCUUAUUAUUAUACCUUUUAAGGUGAAAUUCUCUGAGGAUGGUGGUGGUGAUAUUGGCUGGACGGCUCAAUCUCUGACUGUGACGAUAUAAUUUUUAAUUUUUUUCCUUUGUUAAAUUUUCUUUCUUUUUUUUUAAUUUUGUUCAUAAAGGAAUGAAUUAGUAAUAUUUUAUUGCAAAUGUUUAUCUUGGUUUCUUCCCUUUUC